GAGUUUGAUCCUGGCUCAGGAUGAACGCUAGCGACAGGCUUAACACAUGCAAGUCGAGGGGCAGCGGGGAGGCAGCAAUGCCUCCGCCGGCGACCGGCGCACGGGUGAGUAACACGUAUGAAACCUGCCCGGAGCAGGGGGAUAAGCGGAAGAAAUUCCGUCUAAUACCGCGUAACGAGGCGGGGAGGCAUCUCCCCGCUUCCAAAGAUUUAUCGGCUCCGGAUGGUCAUGCGGCGCAUUAGCUAGUUGGCGGGGUAACGGCCCACCAAGGCGACGAUGCGUAGGGGUUCUGAGAGGAAGGCCCCCCACACUGGUACUGAGACACGGACCAUACUCCUACGGGAGGCAGCAGUGAGGAAUAUUGGUCAAUGGCCGGGAGGCUGAACCAGCCAAGUCGCGUGAGGGAUGACGGCUCUACGGGUUGUAAACCUCUUUUGCCGGGGAGCAAGUCCCGCCUCGUGCAGGCGGAUUGAGAGUACCCGGAGAAAAAGCAUCGGCUAACUCCGUGCCAGCAGCCGCGGUAAUACGGAGGAUGCGAGCGUUAUCCGGAUUCAUUGGGUUUAAAGGGUGCGCAGGCGGGCGGUCAAGUCAGCGGUAAAAUCGUGGGGCCCAACCC
rnacentral:rRNA from 1 species